rnacentral:tRNA from 1 species
UGGGGCGUCGCCAAGCGGUAAGGCACCGGAUUUUGAUUCCGGCAUUCACAGGUUCGA